rnacentral:rRNA from 1 species
AUGGUUGAAGGAUUGGACGCGGACAUCGCUAACCUGAAAUUCCUCCUCCUCUGCUUCCAACAAAUGUCUGGCCUCAAGAUUAACUUCGACAAGAGUGAUGUGAUAGUAAUGGGUUACUCCCCGGCAGAGGCCCUCGACAUUGCCAACCGCCUCAACUACCGCCUGGGCUCCUUCCCCUCAACUUACUUGGGAACGCCUAUUAGUGACUCGCGUCUUACCGUUGCGGACUUGCGGCCUACGGUGGCCAAGCUGCAAACGUGCAUUGAGCCCUAGCAGGGUAGGUGGCUGUCGAAGGUGGCCCGGACGAUCCUCAUCAACUCCUCCCUCUCCAGCCUCCUCUUGUUCCUCAUGAGCUUCUAUAGCCUCCAUGAGACGCUUCACCACGAGAUCGCCAAAGUCCAAUCUCGCUUCUAUUGGGCUGGUGAUAACAAUAAGUAG